UGGGGAAUCUUGGACAAUGGGGGCAACCCUGAUCCAGCGAUGCCGCGUGAGUGAAGAAGGCCUUCGGGUCGUAAAGCUCUUUAGGUCGGGAGGAAGGUUAGUCGUUUAAGAGAUAGCUAAUUUGACUGUACCGACAGAAUAAGCACCGGCAAACUCUGUGCCAGCAGCCGCGGUAAUACAGAGGGUGCGAGCGUUAAUCGGAUUUACUGGGCGUAAAGGGUGCGUAGGCGGUUAUAAGAGUGUGAUGUGAAAGCCCCGGGCUUAACCUGGGAAGUGCAUCGCAAACGAUAUAACUGGAGUAGUUGAGAGGGUGAUGGAAUUUCCGGUGUAGCGGUGAAAUGCGUAGAGAUCGGAAGGAACGUCAAUGGCGAAGGCAGUCACCUGGCAACAUACUGACGCUGAGGCACGAAAGCGUGGGUAGCGAACAGGAUUAGAUACCCCCGUAGUCC
rnacentral:rRNA from 1 species